UACGGAGGGUGCAAACGUUGCUCGGAAUCAUUGGGCGUAAAGCGCACGUAGGCGGUCCGUUAUGUCGGGUGUGAAAGCCCUCGGCUUAACCGAGGAAGCGCAUUCGAAACUGGCGGACUUGAGUACUGGAGAGGGUCGCGGAAUUCCCGGUGUAGAGGUGAAAUUCGUAGAUAUCGGGAGGAACACCAGUGGCGAAGGCGGCGACCUGGACAGAUACUGACGCUGAGGUGCGAAAGCGUGGGGAG
rnacentral:rRNA from 1 species